rnacentral:rRNA from 1 species
UGAACGCUAGCGGCAGGCUUAACACAUGCAAGUCGAGGGGCAUCGGGAGUAGCAAUACUGCCGGCGACCGGCGCAAGGGUGCGUAACGCGUGAGCAACAUGCCCGUAUCAGGGGGGAUAAUCCAUGGAAACGUGGUCUAAUACCCCAUAGUAAUUAUGUAAGGCAUCUUAUAUAAUUUAAAGCUUUGGUGGAUACGGAUUGGCUCGCGUGACAUUAGCUAGACGGUAAGGUAACGGCUUACCAUGGCUACGAUGUCUAGGGGUUCUGAGAGGAAGGUCCCCCCACACUGGAACUGAGACACGGUCCAGACUCCUACGGGAGGCAGCAGUGAGGAAUAUUGGACAAUGGAUGGAAAUCUGAUCCAGCCAUGCCGCGUGCAAGGAAGACGGCCCUAUGGGUUGUAAACUGCUUUUGUAUGGGAGCAAUAAGGGCUACGCGUAGUCCGAUGAGAGUACCAUACGAAUAAGCACCGGCUAACUCCGUGCCAGCCGCCGC